rnacentral:rRNA from 1 species
GAGGUCCCAAGCGUUGUUCGGAUUCACUGGGCGUAAAGGGUGCGUAGGUGGCCAGGUAAGUUCGGUGUGAAAGCUCGGAGCUUAACUCCGAAAUGUCAUUGAAUACUAUCUGGCUUGAGGGUCGGAGGGGAGACUGGAAUUCUCGGUGUAGCAGUGAAAUGCGUAGAUAUCGAGAGGAACACCAGUGGCGAAGGCGAGUCUCUGGACGACUCCUGACACUGAGGCACGAAAGCUAGGGGAGCAAACAGG